rnacentral:tRNA from 1 species
GCCAAGUUACUCAAGUGGUCAACGAGGGCAGACUGUAAAUCUGCUGACGAUUGUCUUCGUAGGUUCGAAUCCUACACUUGGCACCA